rnacentral:SRP_RNA from 1 species
GGGUAAGUCUUAUACGGCCAGCUCCCGUGAAACUCCCCAGGUUCGGAAGGAAGCAAGGAUAAACGGUUGUAGCGGUGCGAUAUAAGUAGCUUACCCCUU